GGGGGUUUGAAACCAUUAUUUUAUCGGCAGUACUGAGUAAGGUCACAUAACAUUUGAAAGAAAACCACACAAGACGACCGGUUCUGAUUGUCUAUUAAGACUGAACAACAACCAUCCAUUCGGUGUCCUUCGAAGAAGAGAACGAUUCACCGCAUUACAGAUAUUAAGAGAUAAAAUGAAGAGUUUAUCAGCUCUGGUUCUUCCACUCCUUUUUCUCACACUCGUCACCAUUCCACUGCCGUCCCUCCAAAGUCCAGUCCCUCGAGAAUCAGCGGGCAAACCAUGUGUGCGCCAGACACAUAUGCGUAAUGGCUUCCUAGUGACAGAAUGUGAGUCCGCAUCUUUUGGCUGUCUGAGGAGUAUUCCUACUUACGGUUACCCGAAAUGUCAACCAGUUUAUCAAAUGAUGGAAAUUCCACAACCUGGAGAGAAUAACACCGUCACUUCCCAUUUGCGAGGAAAGCAAGCCACUAUAGUCGAUUGCAAAUGCGCAUCAUGACUGGUCAAAAUAUUGUUAGUGUAUACCACUCGGCCGUAUUAGCUUUUUCUUACUGGUUAUGAAGUGAUUAGUAGGAACAUUUCACCUCGGAGUUCCAGAAGUUGAUUCGUGAUGUUUACACGGUAUUUGGACAGAGAUAGACUCGUUUUUUUUUUGUUUAUAUGUGUUAUAUGCUAAAACGAUUAUUCACCUCAGAGUCAGUGAAAAUAGUGGAUAUUUACCUCCACUUUGGUGAAUGACUAUAAUAUUUUACAAAUGACUAUAGUUUCCUUUAUUCCUAAGUUAGAACAUAUACUUCAAGCAAAGAGAAACUCAAUUAAAGCUUGCUUUUGUUGAGGAUUUUUGCAUGCACACUAUCACUAAUAAAUGAUUGCUAACGAAGUUGUAUCUAGUUGAUCGACUGAAACGAGCAAAGAUAUUACUUUAAACGAUUUUACUGCUCUUUAUGCCGUAACCCUGUCACUCUAGAGGGUGACCAAUUACUAAUUUCUCCUGACAGCAUUAAUACGUAGUCAUGUAGAAAGGUAAUGAAAAUCAUGAGAAAAUAUCAAUAAGAUGUUUCUUGAUGUUGCAAGAAAUUCUCAGAGCUAUAAUUAAAAGAAAUUUAUAACAGAACGUGAGGAGAAUUGAAUUGUAGAUCUUGGGAGCGCAACGAUUCGGGGCCAUGCUGAUGUUCCGUUGAGUAACAACGUUUUUACAAGAUUUUGCGACUUGACACAUGUAGAUUGAAGAAUAUGCGUUUAACUCGGUUUUCGGUUUCAAUGCCCAAAACAUUGUAUUCUUUUGUUUGCCUUCAGUCGUUUAUCAUAAAUUCUCACCUGAAUAAAAAUCCUUUGAAAUCACU